rnacentral:rRNA from 1 species
GACGAACGCUGGCGGCAGGCCUAACACAUGCAAGUCGAGCGAGGACUUCGGUUCUAGCGGCGGACGGGUGAGUAACGCGUGGGAAUGUGCCCUUCUCUACGGAAUAGCCCUGGGAAACUGGGAGUAAUACCGUAUACGCCCUAUUGGGGAAAGAUUUAUCGGAGAAGGAUCAGCCCGCGUUGGAUUAGGUAGUUGGUGGGGUAAUGCCCUACAAGGCCGACGAUCCAUAGCUGGUUGGGGAGGAGCAGCAGCCACACUGGUACUGAGACACGGCCCAGACUCCUACGGGAGGCAGCAGUGGAGAAUCUUAGACAAUGGGGGCAACCCUGAACGAGCCACGCCGCGUGAGAGAUGAAGGCCUUGUUGUUGUAAAGCUCUUUCAGCUGGGAAGAUAAUGACGGUACCUACAGAAGAAGCCCCGGCUAACUCCGUG